AUGACAUAACCAAAGUUUCAGUAGAGGCGGGUCGUUAAUCCUAUAGCGCUACAUAUGUCAAGGUUUGGCUCGUACGAAGUUAAUGAUAAGUUCAACACAUAAGAAUCACCCAAAUUUAAAGUAUCAAGCCAUCACAUAUACAAGCAUGUUAUAGGAAUGUUCAUGUGUUUAGACAAAAGUUCAUGUGUAAGUUUCAAUAGGUAAACAUGUUACACCCCCAAAAGUGGUAAAAGUAAAAAGGGGAAAAGUACGAGUAUACUCACAUUGGUUGCGUAUGGAAGUUUCUUGGGAUAACGCACGAAUGGAGAAAAUCCAAAUAACGAACGGGAAACGAUUACCCUAUAUUUUGAAAUAUACAAUGAACUCGUUAAAAUUUAUGAAUAAUCCUUCUUUUUAUUGUUUCUAAUUAGAUUAGAUGUUAUAAUUUCCUCGCUAUUAAUGUUUAGUGUU
rnacentral:lncRNA from 1 species